rnacentral:rRNA from 1 species
CCGGCACGGGUGAGUAACACGUAUCCAACCUGCCGUCUACUCUUGGACAGCCUUCUGAAAGGAAGAUUAAUACAAGAUGGCAUCAUGAGUCCGCAGGUUCACAUGAUUAAAGGUAUUCCGGUAGACGAUGGGGAUGCGUUCCAUUAGAUAGUAGGCGGGGUAACGGCCCACCUAGUCUUCGAUGGAUAGGGGUUCUGAGAGGAAGGUCCCCCACAUUGGAACUGAGACACGGUCCAA